GGGCGUGUGGUCUAGUGGUAUGAUUCUCGCUUUGGGCGAGAGAGGCCCUGGGUUCAAUUCCCAGCUCGC
rnacentral:tRNA from 1 species